GAAGAAUGCGGAGCGCACAAAGGUUGGGAUGGUUGAGUUUGAGCUAUGGCUCAACGUUGACAACUAUACUUGAUGGUGCUCAAGGCAAGCAAGGCGCUUGGCAAAGGACGAGACCAUGCAAGGUGGAAUGAGUUGCUCAGCGACCGAAAGAGUUGUGCAAAGCUCACGGAGGUGAGGGGAAUUGCUAACUCGAAGAAUUCGGUACUCAUGCAUGG
rnacentral:lncRNA from 1 species